rnacentral:rRNA from 1 species
GACGAACGCUGGCGGCGUGCCUAAUACAUGCAAGUCGAGCGGGGUUGUCGGAGUGGAGUCCUUCGGGAUGAAGCACCGUCAACCUAGCGGCGGACGGGUGAGUAACGCGUGGGUAACCUGCCCUAAAGCCCGGGAUAACACCGGGAAACUGGUGCUAACACCGGAUACCUUCCGAAGAGGGCAUCCUUUUUGGAAGAAAGGUUAACGCUUUAGGAUGGGCCCGCGUCCCAUUAGCUAGUUGGUGAGGUAACGGCUCACCAAGGCAGUGAUGGGUAGCCGGCCUGAGAGGGUGGACGGCCACACUGGGACUGAGACACGGCCCAGACUCCUACGGGAGGCAGCAGUAGGGAAUAUUGCGCAAUGGGCGAAAGCCUGACGCAGCGACGCCGCGUGGGUGAUGAAGGCCUUCGGGUUGUAAAACCCUGUCCUUGGGGAAGAAGGAAGUGACGGUACCUCCGGAGGAAGCCACGGCUAACUACGUGCCAGCAGCCGCGGUAAUAUCACGUGUAA